UGAGUUCAUUUCAAAAGACGUGCACAACCUACGCUCCGAAGGAAUGCCGUAUCCGCAUGCCAGCCAUCUUACGUACACGAACGCAUGUAUAUGUGGGCCU